rnacentral:rRNA from 1 species
GGCUUAAUGAUAUUAAUUUUAAGUCGAUCUGCCCAAUGAUUUAAUUAUUUAAUGGCUGCAGUAUAAUUGACUGUACAAAGGUAGCAUAAUCAAUUGUUUUUUAAUUAAAAACUGGAAUGAAAGAAUUAAUGAGAUAUAUACUGUCUCAUAUAUAUAUUAUUAAUUUAAAUUUUUAGUAAAAAUGCUAAAAUAAAUUUAUGGGACGAUAAGACCCUAUAGAAUUUUAUAUUUAUAUUUAGAUUAUUAUUUAUUUUAAAUAUUAAUAUUUAAUUGGGAGGAUUAGUAAAUUUAUAAAACUUUAUUUUAAAUUUAAACUUUAAUUUAAGAAUUAUUAAUGAUCUUGUAUUAUGAAUUUAAAGAAUAAAUUACCUUAGGGAUAACAGCGUAAUAUCUUUUUAAAGAUCAAAUUGAUAAAGAUGAUUGCGACCUCGAUGUUGAAUUAAGAUAAAUUUUAAAUGAAGAAGUUUAAUAAUUAAGUCUGUUCGACUUUUAAAAUCUUACAUGAUUUGAGUUCAAAUCGACGUGAGU